rnacentral:rRNA from 1 species
UCCUGGCUCAGGAUGAACGCUGGCGGUCUGCUUAACACAUGCAAGUCGAACGGAGUACUUCGGUACUUAGUGGCGGACGGGUGAGUAACGCGUGAGAAUCUGCCCUUAGGAGGGGGACAACAGUUGGAAACGACUGCUAAUACCCCAUAUGCCGAGAGGUGAAACAUUAAUGGCCUGAGGAGGAGCUCGCGUCUGAUUAGCUAGUUGGUGGGGUAACGGCCUACCAAGGCGACGAUCAGUAGCUGGUCUGAGAGGAUGAUCAGCCACACUGGGACUGAGACACGGCCCAGACUCCUACGGGAGGCAGCAGUGGGGAAUUUUCCGCAAUGGGCGAAAGCCUGACGGAGACAAGACCGCGUGAGGGAGGAAGGUCUGUGGAUUGUAAACCUCUUUUCUCAGGGAAGAAGAACUGACGGUACCUGAGGAAUCAGCAUCGGCUAACUCCGUGCCAGCAGCCGCGGUAAUACGGAGGAUGCAAGCGUUAUCCGGAAUUAUUGGGCGUAAAGCGUCCGUAGGUGGCUAAGCAAGUCUGCUGUUAAAAAGCGGAGCUAAAC